UUAAGUUUUUCAUCUCUUGUAUGAGAUACACGAUACUCUCUCUACUUAGUUAUAGUCUUUUUACAUAUUAGUGCGGGAAAUAUCCAAAGGAUCUUGGUGGACUAGCUUUGGAGGGAAGACACUUGGGCUCCUAGGAGAUAAGGGAAACAUCAACUUCAACAAGUUUAAGGAGCAAAGGAGUUGUUUGGUUUACUACAAAAAUGGCAUCCUCUGUAUCACUGCGCGAUUUAAUGGAUUUGAAUAAGUUGACCGAGCCCAACUGUGUGAAAACUAAAGGAGCUUGUCACUACUGUGGGAAGGAAUUUCAUUGGAUGAGGAACUGCAAAGCCUAUCAUGAAAGCAAGAAGAAAGAUGCAAAUGUUGCUUCUUCCUCGGAUAUUUUUAUGAUUAAAUUUAAUUUUCUAUACAUCAUUCUACUUCUCAUGGGUAUUUGAUACCGCAUGUGAUGCUCAUAUAUGUAAUUCUCUACAAGUGUUAGAGCAGAAGUAGAAAACUGGCUAAAGGUCUAGUGGAGCUUCGAGUUGCCCAUGGUGCAAAAGUUGUUGCCUUAACUGUAGGAAAUGUCUAUCUUUUGUUGCCUUCUAACAAGUUUGUAGAACUAAACAAUGUUUAUUAUGUACUAGAAUGUGUGUAAAAUAUUAUAUUAUUUUCCUUGUUAUGUGAACAAGGUUAUGAUUUGAAUGUUUAAAGCAAUAGUUGCUCAUUGCAUCA